UACGGAGGGAGCUAGCGUUGUUCGGAAUUACUGGGCGUAAAGCGCGCGUAGGCGGCUUUGUAAGUUAGGGGUGAAAGCCCGGAGCUCAACUCCGGAACUGCCUUUAAAACUGCAUCGCUUGAAUCCAGGAGAGGUGAGUGGAAUUCCGAGUGUAGAGGUGAAAUCCGUAAAUAUACGAAGGAACGCCAAAAGCGAAGGCAGCUCUCUGGGUCCCUACCGACGCUGGGGUGCGAAAGCAUGGGGAGCAAACAGG
rnacentral:rRNA from 1 species